CGGACGGGUGAGCAACGCGUGGGUAACCUGCCUCAUACAGGGGGAUAACAGUUAGAAAUGGCUGCUAAUACCGCAUAGGACCACAGUACUGCAUGGUACAGUGGUAAAAACUCCGGUGGUAUGAGAUGGACCCGCGUCUGAUUAGGUAGUUGGUGAGGUAACGGCCCACCAAGCCGACGAUCAGUAGCCGACCUGAGAGGGUGACCGGCCACAUUGGGACUGAGACACGGCCCAG
rnacentral:rRNA from 1 species